CAUUUUUAUCGUGCAUAAUGAAACUGCCUUUUCUGUUGAUUUAUUUGUGAUGAUGUAAUGAUGACGUCAGGGGGCGUCGGCUAUUUAAAUAUACUAUUUUUGACCGCAUUACGCAUUGAAUUCUCCUUUUAUUAUGAGUGUGAUUUAGGUUGUUUUUGCCGAACAAUGAAUAAAGAAUACUGAAGUGACAAUACGAGCAAAUGCGCGUUGAUUUUACCGACCGCUCCUACGUUACGGCUAACGUUACUGGCCCCUCCCCCCGUUGAUACGAACACUGUUUAGGUUGUCACAUGACCAGAGGAAAGGAACACAUCGGUGAUGUCAUCAUAAUAGCAGCUCUGGUUUUCUCCAUUAAUCACAAACUUCCUGAGCGGAGUAAGUGAACCGUCCUCCACUCUGACGCUCUUCCUCCUCCUCUUCCUCCCCCCAUCCCACUGCAGACCUCAGAUCUGCUCUGGUGACACACUGGGAUUAGUUGACAUGCCAUCAUCCAGUCAUCAAGCAGAGGAUUACGUGUUGUGCUCGAGGUAACACAAACGCACACAGUGACACACACUCAGUGACACAAACGCACACAGUGACACACAAAUGUGCAUUGUAUACACGAGCUAUUAAAUGUGCACUUUGACUCUGCAUUAGAAGUCUGUCGGCCAUUUUGAACCCGCAGGUUUGUUUUCUUUCUUUGUGGUGGUUUUUGUUCAAACAAACAAAGAUUUUUCUGAGUAUCAGUUCACUUUCUAUAAAUGUUGAUAUUAAACUUUAAACUACAUUCUUCUCUCAUGAGAUCGUUAUCUCAACACGUUGUGUAUUAAACUGAAACAAAGAGCAACAAAGAAAAGGCCUCAAGCAGCAAAUGACUGUUUAGUUUAAAUGAAUGUGAACGUGAUCUUUUACAUCGGUAAAAAUUCAGUAAUCAGUGAAGCCAAAGCAGAAGAUGAAUUGAUAAACCCAAAUGAACGACGUUCACAGCCUCUGGUAGACGUCCAUCUCACGUAGGAUGAGGCAAAGCGAACGAUGUCACCAUGGUAACAAGCUGCAACGUGAUUAUUGGACUUUCACAGUAAGGAAAUCGUCCUUGAGAGACUGCAGGUGAGAAACAAACACAACCAGAGGCCGAUUGCAUCUGUGACCCCCCCCCUCAAAGAUUCCUCCCCGGGCCGCACGCCGCACGCCGCCACCGAGGCUCGUGAAGCAACAUGUUUGAAAUAUUCAAUCAAAGCAGAACGAAUGUGGAUGUGUGAAACUCAACUGUUGUUUUAUCUUCUGUCUACUUUUAUCUUGUUGAACCUUCACAAACGUAGUGGGACAUAAAGUGAAGGAUUCAUCGUUAUAAUCUGGUUACAUGUAUAAUACGCAUAAUAUGUGUGUGUGUGUGUCUCAGGUCCCUGAGGACUCUCCAGCUGUUGGAGGUGCUGGUUUCUCAGGUGAGGCGCUAUUGAGGACCUGCAGGGUCCUGAACCUCAUCUCAGGUGCACGGGUGACACAAACCUCGAGGUCGGAGGAAACAGAAUAUCGGUGAGAACCAAAACAACUUGUGGAUCGCCGAUCGGAGGUCUCACGUACAAAACGAGACUAACCAUCUGGCAGGAACGAGACGUCCUCUAAACACCGGCCCUGAUGUGGACGGCAGCGCCCAGGUGGGAGGUGCUGAUGGUCGCUGACGUCCCGCCCCCCUCGAGCGCUGGCUGGUGCAAACACACAAACACACAAACACACAACACCAAAAACCUUGUCCAGACAAAUCACGUGACGAAGGAGGAGACCUGACGACGCCCCCGUUGACUGGCAGGACCCUCGACGUGACACGUGACACGAUGGAUUCAUGUCACGUUCUACUGAUGCCGCCACCACACAGGUGAGAAUAAGCCCCUCCUCCAUCCUACGAGAUGCCAUCUUUCGGCGGCCGUCGCCAACUGCCUUCAUCUGGUGCCUCUCUUUCUCCACCGCCUACACACACACGCGCAGACACACACACGCCGCCGUGCAAACGCACAAACACGCGCCCACUCAGAGCAGGUAGAGACGUGUGAGGUCCUUCAGGGAGAAGAAGGAGCGUCAGAGGAGCUCGUGACAGAAGUUCUCCUGCUCUCAGAGAGUCAAUAAUAGUGUUUGACAGCAGCUGAUUCUGGAGGUUCUCCACCUCCAGCAGCUCACCAGAGGAAGCCGGGACACUUUGUUGUGUCGGAGUGGAGGAAACAAAGAUGGGUUUCUGGAGGAUGUGGAUGCAACCUUAGACUUCAGGACGAGACCAGUGACGUCGGUCAAAUGUGACCACUGCUGUAAUAACGAUGUUAGCAGGUGUCACCAGGAGCGACCGGGUCCAGAUAGAACACUGAAGGAGCACAAAGGAGGAAAGAGCGGGACGUCCCGCGCCAGGCGCCCCCCCGUGCAGCACCUCUUCUUCCUCCUGAGUGACAGCUCA
ensembl:lncRNA